GACGAACGCUGGCGGCGUGCUUAACACAUGCAAGUCGAACGGUGAAAGCGGAGCUUGCUCCGCUGGAUCAGUGGCGAACGGGUGAGUAACACGUGGGCAACCUGCCCCUCACUUCGGGAUAACUCCGGGAAACCGGGGCUAAUACCGGAUAUGACCUCCUUGGGCAUCCUUGGAGGUGGAAAGUUUUUCGGUGAGGGAUGGGCCCGCGGCCUAUCAGCUUGUUGGUGAGGUAGUGGCUCGCCAAGGCGACGACGGGUAGCCGGCCUGGGAGGGCGACCGGCCACAGUGGGACUGAGACACGGCCCAGACUCCUACGGGAGGCAGCAGUGGGGAAUAUUGCACAAUGGGCGCAAGCCUGAUGCAGCGACGCCGCGUGAGGGAUGAAGGUCUUCGGAUUGUAAACCUCUUUCAGUAGGGACGAAGCGAAAGUGACGGUACCUAAAGAAGAAGCACCGGCUAACUACGUGCCAGCAGCCGCCGUAA
rnacentral:rRNA from 1 species